UACGGAGGGUGCAAGCGUUAAUCGGAAUUACUGGGCGUAAAGCGCGCGUAGGCGGUUUUUUAAGUCGGAUGUGAAAGCCCCGGGCUCAACCUGGGAACUGCAUCCGAUACGUGGAAGACUGGAAUGCGGGAGAGGGAGGUAGAAUUCCAUGUGUAGCAGUGAAAUGCGUAGAUAUAUGGAGGAAUACCGGUGGCGAAGGCGGCCNCCUGGCUCGACAUUGACGCUGAGGUGCGAAAGCGUGGGGAGCAAACGGU
rnacentral:rRNA from 1 species